ACACUGAACUUGAAAUGGAAAGAACUUGAAGAACAUUUCCAUGGGCUUGAAAGAUCCUUGAAAAGGCGCUUUCAUGAGUUAGAAGACCAGGAGAAAGAGUAUGAAACCAAAACAAGAAAAGCCCAAGAAUUGUUGGAGAAGCGGGAAGCUGCUGUGGUUGCCAAGGAACAAGCUUCACUGGAGAGGCUCCAGGAGAAAAGAGAUGCUGCUGUCUUUGCCAUUACUAAUGCUCUAGAGAAGCACAGGAAGGUAUCACCUGUGGAACCUGCUGUUGUAACCAUUGAUGUGCAAGGUGAGCCCCCAACUGUUGAAGACCAACCAGCUGAUACUAUGGCUGCUGAAAGUAAUUUGGAAGAGAGUAAUAAUUCUUCUGAAAAUGGAAAUGUGGAGGUGAUAUCUUAUCCAGAGUUGGUCAAACUAUGUGAAGUAAUGGACUCAGAAGGGCUGCACAAAUUUAUAUCAGAUAAUAGAAAGAACCUUGCUGUCCUGAGGGAGGAAAUUCCACUUGCCUUAAAAGCUGCAGAAAACCCAGCGCAACUGGUCUUGAACUCGUUGGAAGAUUUCUAUCCCAUGGAAGUGCC
rnacentral:lncRNA from 1 species